rnacentral:rRNA from 1 species
AGUGAACGCUGGCGGUAGGCCUAACACAUGCAAGUCGAACGGCAGCACAGUAAGAGCUUGCUCUUACGGGUGGCGAGUGGCGGACGGGUGAGGAAUACCUCGGAAUCUACUUUUUCGUGGGGGAUAACGUAGGGAAACUUACGCUAAUACCGCAUACGACCUACGGGUGAAAGCAGGGGAUCUUCGGACCUUGCGCGAUUGAAUGAGCCGAUGUCGGAUUAGCUAGUUGGCGGGGUAAAGGCCCACCAAGGCGACGAUCCGUAGCUGGUCUGAGAGGAUGAUCAGCCACACUGGAACUGAGACACGGCCCAGACUCCUACGGGAGGCAGCAGUGGGGAAUAUUGGACAAUGGGCGCAAGCCUGAUCCAGCCAUACCGCGUGGGUGAAGAAGGCCUUCGGGUUGUAAAGCCCUUUUGUUGGGAAAGAAAAGCAGCAGGUUAAUACCCCGCUGUUCUGACGGUACCCAAAGAAUAAGCACCGGCUAACUUCGUG